rnacentral:rRNA from 1 species
UACGAAGGGGGCUAGCGUUGUUCGGAGUUACUGGGCGUAAAGGGCGCGUAGGCGGCACACCAAGUCAGGCGUGAAAGCCCUGGGCUCAACCCGGGAAUUGCGCUUGAGACUGGUGUGCUUGAGUACGGGAGAGGAUAGUGGAAUUCCCAGUGUAGAGGUGAAAUUCGUAGAUAUUGGGAAGAACACCGGUGGCGAAGGCGGCUAUCUGGACCGUAACUGACGCUGAGGCGCGAAAGCGUGGGGAGCAAACAGG